rnacentral:lncRNA from 1 species
UCUGCUACGUUAUAUUGUGUUUUCUUUUAGAUUUCUCAAGUAUUUACUGAUUACAUGUUGUUGCCACCUGCUUUCUUGUUCAAGUUUGGUUACUGUUUAGAAGGGAUUAAAUUCUCAUGUUUUGCUUAAACCUUUUUAGUCUCUUAGUCGCUAUUUUAUCUCACUCUUCCGCUUCAUCUAAAAUAAGCUAUCAUUGUUGUUAUGUUGUG